rnacentral:rRNA from 1 species
ACUCCUACGGGAGGCAGCAGUGGGGAAUAUUGCACAAUGGAGGGAACUCUGAUGCAGCGACGCCGUGUGAACGAAGAAGGCUUUCGAGUCGUAAAGUUCUUUUAUAUGGGAAGAUAAUGACGGUACCAUAAGAAAAGCCCCGGCUAACUACGUGCCAGCAGCCGCGGUAAUACGUAGGGGGCUAGCGUUGUCCGGAAUCACUGGGCGUAAAGGGUUCGCAGGCGGAAAUGCAAGUCAGAUGUAAAAGGCAGUAGCUUAACUACUGUAAGCAUUUGAAACUGCAUAUCUUGAGAAGAGUAGAGGUAAGUGGAAUUUUUAGUGUAGCGGUGAAAUGCGUAGAUAUUAAAAAGAAUACCGGUGGCGAAGGCGACUUACUGGGCUCAUUCUGACGCUGAGGAACGAAAGCGUGGGUAGCAAACAGGAUUAGAUACCCUGGUAGGCGUAG